rnacentral:misc_RNA from 1 species
UUUUCGUAGGUGAACCUGCGGAAGGAUCAUUAGUGAAUAACAAAAGGACUGGAUCUCUUUUAACCAAAGAUUUCCUUUCCGUCUUCACUUUCACACACACCUGUGCACAUGUUCUUUUUAAACAUUCUUUGUUUAAACACUUGUGUUAACAAUUUGAAAAAGUCCAAGAUGUAAAAGUUGAUAAACGAAAGUAAAACUUUCAGCAAUGGAUCUCUUGGCUCUCGCAUCGAUGAAGAACGCAGC